rnacentral:rRNA from 1 species
GAGUUUGAUCGUGGCUCAGGUUGAACGCUGGCGGAAUGCUUUACACAUGCAAGUCGAGCGGCAGCGCGGGGCAACCUGGCGGCGAGCGGCGAACGGGUGAGUAAUGCAUCGGAACAUGUCCAUGUCGUGGGGGAUAGCCCGGCGAAAGCCGGAUUAAUACCGCAUACGCCCGAGAGGGGAAAGCCGGGGACCGCAAGGCCUGGCGCGAUUGGGUUGGCCGAUGUCCGAUUAGCUAGUUGGCGGGGUAAGAGCCCACCAAGGCGAUGAUCGGUAGCUGGUCUGAGAGGAUGAUCAGCCACACUGGGACUGAGACACGGCCCAGACUCCUACGGGAGGCAGCAGUGGGGAAUUUUGGACAAUGGGGGCAACCCUGAUCCAGCCAUGCCGCGUGUGUGAAGAAGGCCUUCGGUUGU